rnacentral:rRNA from 1 species
GACGAACGCUGGCGGCGUGCUUAACACAUGCAAGUCGAACGAUGAAGCCGGAGCUUGCUCUGGUGAAUUAGUGGCGAACGGGUGAGUAGCACGUGAGUAACCUGCCCUUGACUCUGGGAUAACUGCGGGAAACUGUAGCUAAUACCGGAUACGACCCUCGGAGGCAUCUCCUGGGGGUGGAAAGAAUUUCGGUCAAGGAUGGCCUCGCGGUCUAUCAGGUAGUUGGUGAGGGAACGGCCCACCAAGGCGACGACGGGGAGCCGGCCGGAGAGGGUGACCGGCCACACUGGGACUGAGACCCGGCCCAGACUCCUACGGGAGGCAGCAGUGGGGAAUAUUGCACAAUGGGCGCAAGCCUGAUGCAGCAACGCCGCGUGAGGGAUGACGGCCUUCGGGUUGUAAACCUCUUUUAGUAGGGAAGAAGCGAAAGUGACGGUACCUGCAGAAAAAGCACCGGCUAACUACGUGCCAGCCGCCGCAGUAA